CACCUUCGGGUGAGCGGCGGACGGGUUAGUAACGCGUGGGAACGUGCCCUUCUCUACGGAAUAGCCUCGGGAAACUGAGAGUAAUACCGUAUACGCCCUUCGGGGGAAAGAUUUAUCGGAGAAGGAUCGGCCCGCGUUGGAUUAGGUAGUUGGUGGGGUAAUGGCCUACCAAGCCGACGAUCCAUAGCUGGUUUGAGAGGAUGAUCAGCAACACUGGGACUGAGACACGGCCCAGACUCCUACGGGAGGCAGCAGUGGGGAAUCUUAGACAAUGGGGGAAACCCUGAUCUAGCCAUGCCGCGUGAGUGACGAAGGCCCUAGGGUCGUAAAGCUCUUUCAGCUGUGAAGAUAAUGACGGUAGCAGCAGAAGAAACCCCGGCUAACUCCGUGCCAGCAGCCGCGGUAAUACGGAGGGGGUUAGCGUUGUUCGGAAUUACUGGGCGUAAAGCGCGCGUAGGCGGACCAGAAAGCCAGGGGUGAAAUCCCGGGGCUCAACCCCGGAACUGCCUUUGAAACUCCUGGUCUUGAGUUCGAGAGAGGUGAGUGGAAUUCCGAGUGUAGAGGUGAAAUUCGUAGAUAUUCGGAGGAACACCAGUGGCGAAGGCGGCUCACUGGCUCGA
rnacentral:rRNA from 1 species